rnacentral:rRNA from 1 species
AUUAGUGGCGAACGGGUGAGUAACACGUGGGCAAUCUGCCCUUCACUCUGGGACAAGCCCUGGAAACGGGGUCUAAUACCGGAUACUGACCUGCCAAGGCAUCUUGGCGGGUCGAAAGCUCCGGCGGUGAAGGAUGAGCCCGCGGCCUAUCAGCUUGUUGGUGAGGUAAUGGCUCACCAAGGCGACGACGGGUAGCCGGCCUGAGAGGGCGACCGGCCACACUGGGACUGAGACACGGCCCAGACUCCUACGGGAGGCAGCAGUGGGGAAUAUUGCACAAUGGGCGAAAGCCUGAUGCAGCGACGCCGCGUGAGGGAUGACGGCCUUCGGGUUGUAAACCUCUUUCAGCAGGGAAGAAGCGAAAGUGACGGUACCUGCAGAAGAAGCGCCGGCUAACUACGUGCCAGCAGCCGCGGUAAUACGUAGGGCGCAAGCGUUGUCCGGAAUUAUUGGGCGUAAAGAGCUCGUAGGCGGCUUGUCACGUCGGUUGUGAAAGCCCGGGGCUUAACCCCGGGUCUGCAGUCGAUACGGGCAGGCUAGAGUUCGGUAGGGGAGAUCGGAAUUCCUGGUGUAGCGGUGAAAUGCGCAGAUAUCAGGAGGAACACCGGUGGCGAAGGCGGAUCUCUGGGCCGAUACUGACGCUGAGGAGCGAAAGCGUGGGGAGCGAACAGGAUUAGAUACCCUGGUAGUCCACGCCGUAAACGGUGGGCACUAGGUGUGGGCAACAUUCCACGUUGUCCGUGCCGCAGCUAACGCAUUAAGUGCCCCGCCUGGGGAGUACGGCCGCAAGGCUAAAACUCAAAGGAAUUGAC